rnacentral:rRNA from 1 species
UUCCGGUUGAUCCUGCCGGACCCGACUGCUAUCAGAGUAGGACUAAGCCAUGCGAGUCGACGUAGCAAUGCGUGGCGAACGGCUCAGUAACACGUAGUCAACAUGCCCAAGGGACGUGGAUAACCUCGGGAAACUGAGAAUAAACCACGAUAGGUCAUGAUUUCUGGAAUGGAUCAUGGCUCAAAUCUACAUGGCCCCUGGAUUGGACUGCGGCCGAUCAGGCAGUUGGUGAGGUAAAGGCCCACCAAACCUAUAACCGGUACGGGCUCUGAGAGGAGAAGCCCGGAGAUGGGCACUGAGACAAGGGCCCAGGCCCUAUGGGGCGCAGCAGGCGCGAAACCUCUGCAAUAGGCGAAAGCCUGACAGGGUUACUCUGAGUGAUUUCCGCUAAGGGGAUCUUUUGGCACCUCUAAAAAUGGUGCAGAAUAAGGGGUGGGCAAGUCUGGUGUCAGCCGCCGCGGUAAUACCAGCACCCCGAGUGGUCGGGACGAUUAUUGGGCCUAAAGCAUCCGUAGCCGGUUCUGCAAGUCUUCCGUUAAAUCCAGCCGCUCAACGGAUGGGCCGCGGAGGAUACUACAGGACUAGGAGGCGGGAGAGGCAAGCGGUACUCAGUGGGUAGGGGUAAAAUCCGUUGAUCCAUUGAAGACCACCAGUGGCGAAGGCGGCUUGCCAGAAUGCGCUCGACGGUGAGGGAUGAAAGCUGGGGGAGCAAACCGGAUUAGAUACCCGGGUAGUCCCAG